rnacentral:rRNA from 1 species
CAAAGUUAAACGGCCGCGAUAGUGCUAAGGUAGCAUAAUCAUUUGCCUUUUUAUUGAAGGCUAGUAUGAAUGGACCAACGACACUUAACUGUCUCUUAAUAUAAAAUGAUUUUGAUUAAAAGGUGAAAAAUCCUUUAUUUACGUGAAGGACGAAAAGACCCUAUAGAGUUUUAAUAAAAUCUAUGCAUAUAUGCAAGAUAUAUUUUUAUUGGGGCAAUAAAAGAACAACCAAACUCUACACAUAUAUAAUUAUAAUAAUAACAUAUAUCCUCAAAGAGAACAGAAAAAAACUACCUUAGGGAUAACAGCGUAAUUUUUCCAAAGAGACCUAAUCGAAGGAAAUUUUUGCGACCUCGAUGUUGGACUAAGGUAUCCACUUAGUGCAGAAGCUAAGAAUGUAAGCCUGUUCGGCUUUUAAAACCUUACAUGAUU